UUUAAUUUUGUGGGAGAGAAAAGGCUCCCACAAGGCCAUGUAUUCGUCCCCCCCCUUGAAGGGUUAUUCGCCCCACUUGGGGACUGAGACCCGGCCCCAGAUUUCUUCGGGGAGGCAGCAGUAGGGAAUUCUUCCACAAUGGCCGCAAGUCUGAUGGAGCAACGCCGCGUGAAUGAAGAAGGGUUUCGGCUCGUAAAGCUCUGUUGUUAAAGAAGAACGUGGGUAAGAGUAACUGUUUACCCAGUGACGGUAUUUAACCAGAAAGCCACGGCUAACUACGUGCCAGCAGCCGCGGUAAUACGUAGGUGGCAAGCGUUAUCCGGAUUUAUUGGGCGUAAAGCGAGCGCAGGCGGUCUUUUAAGUCUAAUGUGAAAGCCUUCGGCUCAACCGAAGAAGUGCAUUGGAAACUGGGAGACUUGAGUGCAGAAGAGGACAGUGGAACUCCAUGUGUAGCGGUGAAAUGCGUAGAUAUAUGGAAGAACACCAGUGGCGAAGGCGGCUGUCUGGUCUGCAACUGACGCUGAGGCUCGAAAGCAUGGGUAGCGAACAGGAUUAGAUACCCUGGUAGUCCAUGCCGUAAACGAUGAUUACUAAGUGUUGGAGGGUUUCCGCCCUUCAGUGCUGCAGCUAACGCAUUAAGUAAUCCGCCUGGGGAGUACGACCGCAAGGUUGAAACUCAAAAGAAUUGACGGGGGCCCGCACAAGCGGUGGAGCAUGUGGUUUAAUUCGAAGCUACGCGAAGAACCUUACCAGGUCUUGACAUCUUCUGACAGUCUAAGAGAUUAGAGGUUCCCUUCGGGGACAGAAUGACAGGUGGUGCAUGGUUGUCGUCAGCUCGUGUCGUGAGAUGUUGGGUUAAGUCCCGCAACGAGCGCAACCCUUAUUACUAGUUGCCAGCAUUAAGUUGGGCACUCUAGUGAGACUGCCGGUGACAAACCGGAGGAAGGUGGGGACGACGUCAAAUCAUCAUGCCCCUUAUGACCUGGGCUACACACGUGCUACAAUGGAUGGUACAACGAGUCGCGAGACCGCGAGGUUAAGCUAAUCUCUUAAAACCAUUCUCAGUUCGGACUGUAGGCUGCAACUCGCCUACACGAAGUCGGAAUCGCUAGUAAUCGCGGAUCAGCAUGCCGCGGUGAAUACGUUCCCGGGCCUUGUACACACCGCCCGUCACACCAUGAGAGUUUGUAACACCCAAAGCCGGUGGGGUAACCUUUUAGGAGCUAGCCGUCUAAGUGACAGAGAUGGCU
rnacentral:rRNA from 1 species